CGGCGGACGGGUGAGUAACGCGUGGGUAACCUGCCCUAUACAGAGGAAUAACAUUAAGAAAUUGAUGCUAAUACCUCAUAAGCUUACGCUACGGCAUCGUAGAGUAAGAAAAGAUUUAUCGGUAUAGGAGGGACCCGCGUCUGAUUAGUUAGUUGGUGAGGUAACGGCUCACCAAGGCGACGAUCAGUAGCCGACCUGAGAGGGUGAUCGGCCACAUUGGAACUGAGACACGGUCCAAACUCCUACGGGAGGCAGCAGUGGGGAAUAUUGCACAAUGGGGGGAACCCUGAUGCAGCAACGCCGCGUGAAGGAAGAAGUAUUUCGGUAUGUAAACUUCUAUCAACGGGGAAGAAAAAAAUGACGGUACCCGAAUAAGAAGCACCGGCUAAAUACGUGCCAGCAGCCGCGGUAAUACGUAUGGUGCAAGCGUUAUCCGGAUUUACUGGGUGUA
rnacentral:rRNA from 1 species